rnacentral:lncRNA from 10 species
UGUGUACAAUGAAGUGACGUGUACAAUGUGGCUCAAGCCGUCUGUGUAAUUAUCUUAAACUUUUUCAUUUCGGAAAUGAAACAGCUCCUCCCUUCACCGCCACCUUGGCUAUUUCUGGGACCAAAGGAAUCCUUGAAGCUGACCGGGCAGGAGAGUCCACGCUGGGAGUAAAAUCACUACAAACGUUUGUAGGGGGGCCCUGGCUGAAUUAGUUCAAUUUCAGGGAGAAAACUGGUGUGUGUGUGUGUGUGUGUGUGUGUGUGUAAAAUCACUGCAAAUGUCUGUCGGGGCGUGGCUGGAUUAGCUCAGUUUCCGGGAGAAAACUGGUGUGUGUGUGUGUGUGUGUGUGUGUUGUGUGUGUGUGUGUGUUGGGAGGAAGGGGGAGGAAGGAGGAGGGCAUUCUCUGGUGGAGGAGAAACAGCCUGAGCUUCUCCCCUUCCCAUGUCUUUCACAGCAGCUCAUACACUGUUUUCUCGCCUUGCAAUGCCCAACUUUCUACCUAAUGACCUACCCUCCCCUAAGGCCCUGCUCAACUCACCUUCACUGAGAAAUCUUCUCUGGCCUUCAGCCCUUUUCUUAAAGCCCAAGGUCUCUGAAGCUGCACUUGAUUGGUUGGAUACUGUAUUAGACCAUUCCCACGC